rnacentral:rRNA from 1 species
GUAUAAGAGACAGGAACUCAGAUCAUGUAAUCUACCUCCAUAAAAUAAGUAAUAACUAUUGAAUCCUGUUCCACCUGUCUUCGGUUGGGGCGACCACGGGGAAUAAAAAAUCCCCCAUGUGGACCAGGAGCACAUACUCCUACAACCAUGAGCCACAGCUCUAAUGCACAAAACAUUUGACCAUUAGAUCCGGCAAAGCCGAUUAACGGACCAAGUUACCCUAGGGAUAACAGCGCAAUCCCCUUUAAGAGUUCAUAUCGACAAGGGGGUUUACGACCUCGAUGUUGGAUCAAGACAUCCUAAUGGUGCAGCCGCUAUUAAGGGUUCGUUUGUUCAACGAUUAAAGUCUUACAUGAUCUGAGUUCCUGUCUCUUAU